UCUAUAGAGCAGAUCACCAAGGUUAUAAAUGGAUUUUUUUCACUGACCUCACCAUACUACUCCAGAUGACCAAAUAUGGGUCAUUGGUAUUUUUGUCACUGAUAUUGGUUGGUCUGGCCCAUGGGAGGAAAACUUAACUCAUUGCAUCAAAUGAGGAAAAGUAAAUGUGCUUCCCAGAGAGAAAACAUUGUUUAUACAUGGAAUUUUAGGUAUGACAACAGGGUUGCCAGGAAUACUUGAAGCAAUCAUCAAAAUACAAGAAUCUAAGCCUGAAAGAAAAUAAGAAUAUUG